rnacentral:lncRNA from 1 species
UCCGUCAUUGCUAUGAGCUGUGGUGUAGGUCGCAGACGUGGCUCAGAUCCCAGGUUAGGGGUCUAAUUGGAGCUGUAGCUGCCGGCCUACAACAGGGCCACAGCAACGUGGGAUCCGAGCCAUAUCUUCGACCUACACCACAACUCACGGCAACGCCGGAUCCUAAACCCACUGAUCGAGGCCAGGGAUCAAACCCACAACUUCAAGGUUCCUAGUCAGAUUCGUUAACCACUGUACCAUGAGGGGAACUCCCUCAAACACUCUUAAAAUGAGAAGAAACUAUAUAGAAAACCCCCCAAAAGCAUAUUAUAAAGUGUCAUAAAUCAGUUUCUAAUACCACCCACAACUUUUCGUGGACUUUAUUCUCUCUCUUUAUAGGCAAAAGGCUCAGUUUCACUCCAUUUUCUUGUAUGUAUUUAUGGACCAGUACUGAACCAAAGUUGGUGCUCUCCUGGGCCUUUGUAUACAUCAUGAAAACAGAGCAUUCUUCUCCUCAUCUUUUAUACCUACUUAUCUGCUGUAUUAGUUUCCUGUGGUUGCUGUAACGAUUGACCACAAACUGGGUGGCUUAAAACAUCGGAAGUGUAUUCUUUUAUAGUUGCAGAAGCUUAAAGUCUGAAAUCAGUAUCAUUGAGCUGGAAUCUACUCUUGUGAGGCUCUGGGGCAGUUUCCACUCAGAUGAACCCUCUUGUAUGCCUAACCUAUAAACAUGGUGAGAUCAGAAAUGUCUGUGGUUGGAAGUUCCCUUUGUGGCCCAGCAAUUAAUGAUCCUCACUAGGAUCCAUGAAGAUGUGGGUUCCAUCCCUGGCCUUGCUCAGUGGGUUAAGGAUCUGGCAUUGUUGUGGCUGUGGCGUAGGCUGACAGCUGCAGCUCCAAUUCAACCCCUAGCUUGGGAACCUCCUAUGCAGCCCUAAAAAGCAAAACAAAAAAACAGAAACAAAAACAAACAAAAAAAAGUUUGUUGUUUUAAACUAUGGGGAAUAAUUUGUUAACAUAACAAUAGAUAAUUAAUGCAGGAGGUAAGGAAAUUGUAAAGAAGGAGACUUAGUGGUAUCAUUUGUCAAAAGAGGACAGAUAAGGAGUAUAUGAGGAACACGUCAGUUUGGGAAAGACCAAGUUCAAGAUGCCCCUAGGAUAUUAAGGUGGAGCUGUGUAAACAAAUUUAGAGGAGUGUUUGGAAUAGGAUAUAUUUUAGGAGUAAUGGACCUAUAGGUGAUAGAAUAUGUGAGAUAACAUCACCUAGUGUCACAGGCUAUCUUCUCUAGAAGCACUUACUGAGACCAAGUUUAAAAUAAAAGAUAUUAGGGAUCAAGUCCUAUGAAAGGAAGCAGUAUUAGGUAGAAGAAGGUAAAUACAUUACUUGCUGACCUAAACAUCAGUCCACCCUGUCAGGAGCUCUGAAACAAUUAUUGCCUGUCAGAGUAUCCCUUUUUGAGUCAAGUGGUCAACUCUCUCUUUAUACCCCCACCUUGCUUAGUCAGCAGAUGGGGACUGCCCCGGGGAAUUCAUGGCCUAAGAGAGGUGGUUCUCAGCAGCUGUGCCAGACCUUACUAGCAGCUGGAGGAUGCUGCUGACUGUGGUGUCCACUGUCGGGCAACAAGCCCUUGCUGGAAGAGGGAUCUGGAUGGUGCAUCUCUGUGUCUAUCACCCCUGGAAAGAGUGACUGGAGUGAGUCAGAAAAAGAGAAUCAGGAAAUACCAAUAUUUAAGGGAUAGAUAGGGAAAGUAGAGAAAGAAUCUACUUGAAGGAGGCUGAGCAAAUGAAGUCAAAGGAAAUAGAUAUCCAUGACACUCAUCUCACAGAAGCUUAUGGAAGAGGUUUUUUUGUCUUUUUUUUUUAGUGCUGCACUCAAGGUGUAUGGAGUUUCCCAGGCUAGGAGUCCAACCGGAGCUGUAGCCGCUGGCCUACACAUCAGCCAGAGCAAGGCCAGAUCCUUAACCCACUGAACAAGGCCAGGGAUCGAACCCGAGUCCUCAUCGAUGCUAGUCAGGUCCAUUAACUGCUGAGCCACAACAGGAACUCUGAUGUGUUUUGAUAGAACAAAAAAAAAAAAAUUCAAAUAAGAUGACAGUAGGAGUGUGUAAACACAAAUGCCUCUGGAAUGACUUAGGCAUCGAUCUUAGUAUUUUCUUCCAGUAGCAUUCUCUUCUCAGAUGUGGAAGGAUCCUGCAUUUUUAGAAUCUACUGCCAGAGUUCCCAACACGCUGGUCAGUCUCAAGACUCAAGCAUGACUCAGGGACGGCUUUGAAAGAAAUGCCUAGUAACUAGAUUAGAAAAUAACUAGGUUUAGGAGUUCCUGCUUAUGCUGUCUGUGGCACUGGGAUACAGUUUCUACACCCUGCACAGUGGGUUAAAGAUCCAUCAUUGCGGCGACUUUGGCUGGGAUUUGAACCCUGGUCCUGGAACUCCAUAUGCCAUGGGGUGGCCAAAAAAUAAAAUAGGUUUAAAGGAAUUCCCUGGUGACCUACCAGUUUGGGACUAGACGUUGUCGCUGUUGUGGCUCAGGUUUGAUUCCUUGCCUAGGAACUGCAUACCAUCAGCAUGGCCAAAAAAAAAAAAAAGUUUAAUAAACAAUUAGGAAGCUUUCUUUAAAAUUCUGAAGCACUAUUGGGAGUUCCCGUCGUGGCUCAGCAGUUAACAAACCUGACUGAUUAGUAUCCUGACUAGUAUCUAGGGACUUGGGUUCAAUCCCUGGCGUUGCUCAGUGGGUUAGGGAUCUGGCUUUGCUGUGGGCUGUGGUGUAGUUUGCAGGCUCAGCUCUGAUUCUGCGUUGCUGUGGCUGUGGUGUAGGCUGGCAGCUACAGCUCCAAUUCGACCUCUAGCCUGGGAACUUCCAUAUGGCACGGGUGUGGUCCUAAAGAGACAAAAAUAAAUAAAUAAAUAAAAUUAUCAAGCAUGCUGUGGCACAGUGAGUUAAGGAUCUGACUGCAGUGGCUCAGGUCACUGCAGAGGCAUGGUUUCAAUCCCUGGCCUGGGAAUGUCUAUAUGCCACGGGCAUGGCCAAAAAAAAAUUAUGAAGCAUCAUUAAAAUUAAAAAAAUUUUUUUUGGCAGUGCCCAUGGCAUGUGAAAGUUCCCAGACUAAAGAAUGAACUCAAACCACUGCAGUGACAAUGCUGGAUCCUUAACCCACUCUGCCACAAGAUAAUUCCCAAAAUUAAUGCAUUUAAAGCAUUCUUUUUAGGAGUUCCCAUUGUGGUUCUUUGGCAACGAACCCAGCUGGUAUCCAUGAGGACUCAGGUUAAAUCCCUGGCCUUGCUCAGUGGGUUAAAGAAUUGGCAUUGCUGUGAGCUGUGGUGUAAGUCACUGAUGCACCUCGGAUCUUAAGUUGCUAUGGCUGUGGCCAGCAACUACAGCUCCAAUUUGCCCACUAGCCUGGGAACUUCCAUAUGCUGCACCUGCAGCCCUAAACAAACAAAAA